GUAACACGUAGUCAACCUGCCCUGGAGACUCGAUAACCCCGGGAAACUGGGACUAAUCUGUGAUAGGUCACCUCAUCUGGAAGGAGAGGUGGCCCAAAAGGGAAUCGUGGGCUUCCACUUUUCUUGCUCCAGGAUGGGACUGCGGCCGAUCAGGCUGUUGGCGGGGUAAUGGCCCACCAAACCUGUAACCGGUACGGGCCUUGAGAGAGGUGGCCCGGAGAUGGACACUGAGACAAGGGUCCAGGUCCUACGGGGCGCAGCAGGCGCGAAACCUUCGCAAUGCGCGAAAGCGUGACGAGGUUAAUCCGAGUGGCUUCCGCUGAGGAAGUCUUUUGCCGACUGUAAAAAGGUCGGAGAAUAAGGGGAGGGCAAGUCUGGUGUCAGCCGCCGCGGUAAUACCAGCUCCUCGAGUGGUCGGGGCGAUUAUUGGGCCUAAAGCAUCCGUAGCCUGUUCCGUAGGUCUCCUGCAAAAUCCAGUCGCUCAACGAUUGGCCCGCAGGAGAUACCGCGGGACU
rnacentral:rRNA from 1 species